rnacentral:rRNA from 1 species
GAUGAACGCUGGCGGCCUGCCUAAUACAUGCAAGUCGAGCGAACAGACGAGGAGCUUGCUCCUCUGACGUUAGCGGCGGACGGGUGAGUAACACGUGGAUAACCUACCUAUAAGACUGGGAUAACUUCGGGAAACCGGAGCUAAUACCGGAUAAUAUAUUGAACCGCAUGGUUCAAUAGUGAAAGACGGUUUUGCUGUCACUUAUAGAUGGAUCCGCGCCGCAUUAGCUAGUUGGUAAGGUAACGGCUUACCAAGGCAACGAUGCGUAGCCGACCUGAGAGGGUGAUCGGCCACACUGGAACUGGGACACGGUCCAGACUCCUACGGGAGGCAGCAGUAGGGAAUCUUCCGCAAUGGGCGAAAGCCUGACGGAGCAACGCCGCGUGAGUGAUGAAGGUCUUGGGAUCGUAAAACUCUGUUAUUAGGGAAGAACAAAUGUGUAAGUAACUGUGCACGUCUUGACGGUACCUAAACAGAAAGCCACGGCUAACUACGUG